rnacentral:rRNA from 1 species
AGCAGCCGCGGUAAUUCCAGCUCCAAUAGCGUAUAUUAAAGUUGUUGCAGUUAAAAAGCUCGUAGUUGAAUUUCGGGAUUAGUACGUUGGUCGUGCCUUCGGUACGUACUGGUGUUACUGAUUCCUACCUUCUGACGAACCAUCAUGUCAUUUAUUUGGUGUGGCGGGGAAUCAGGACUGUUACUUUGAAAAAAUUAGAGUGUUUAAAGCAGGCUCGCGCUUGAAUACAUUAGCAUGGAAUAAUGAAAUAGGACGUUGACCCUAUUUUGUUGGUUUCUAGGAUUGACGUAAUGAUUAAUAGGGAUAGUUGGGGGCAUUAGUAUUCAAUUGUCAGAGGUGAAAUUCUUGGAUUUAUUGAAGACUAACUACUGCGAAAGCAUUUGCCAAGGAUGUUUUCAUUAAUCAAGAACGAAAGUUAGGGGAUCGAAGACGAUCAGAUACCGUCGUAGU